GGCAAGGGUGAGGGGGCCAUCACCUCCUCUGCCAUUACUACAGUUGCUGCUGAGGCCCCUGUCCUGCCGCUCUCCACAGAGCCGCCUGCUGCCCCUGCCACCUCUGCUUACACAUGCUUUCGCUGCCUGGAGUGCAAGGAACAGUGCCGGGACAAGGCUGGCAUGGCAGCUCACUUCCAGCAGCUCGGUCCCCCUGCCCCUGGGGCCACCAGCAAUGUGUGCCCAACCUGCCCCAUGAUGCUCCCCAAUCGCUGCAGCUUCAGCGCCCACCAGCGCAUGCAUAAGAAUCGACCCCCCCACGUCUGUCCUGAGUGUGGGGGCAACUUCCUGCAAGCCAAUUUUCAGACCCAUCUCCGGGAGGCCUGUCUGCACGUCUCUCGCCGUGUAGGAUACAGGUGCCCCAGCUGUUCAGUGGUGUUUGGGGGUGUGAACUCCAUCAAGUCCCACAUCCAGACGUCGCACUGCGAGGUUUUCCACAAGUGCCCCAUCUGCCCCAUGGCCUUCAAGUCUGGGCCAAGUGCCCAUGCCCACCUCUACUCCCAGCAUCCCAGCUUCCAAACUCAGCAGGCCAAGUGAGGCCCGGGGGAGGGAUGCGCCGGGCCAUGGAGGGAGGGCUGGUGGGGCGCAGGUGGGGAGGGGCUGCACCCAACCCUGCCUGAUGUCUGCACUGUCCUCACCUCAGGCUGAUCUACAAGUGCGCCAUGUGCGACACAGUCUUCACUCAUAAACCCCUCCUGUCCUCACACUUCGACCAGCACUUGCUGCCCCAGCGUGUCAGUGUCUUUAAGUGCCCGUCUUGUCCUCUGCUCUUUGCCCAAAAAAGGACCAUGCUGGAACAUCUCAA
rnacentral:sRNA from 1 species